CGGCCCCCCAGCGCCCGCCGCCAUCACUUCCGCUUUCCGCCGGCCUCACGUGAGGCGGCGUCCGGCCGCGAAGGCGGCUCGCGCGGCUGCCGCGGCGCCGCCGGCGGGUUCCGGGCGGCGAGGCCGCCGUGCGGGCGCCGGCAGCGGCUGCGGCUCGUGGGCCGUGCUGAGAGGCGUCAGCGGUGCGAGCGAGGGCUGCCCAGCAGGUCGCGGCCUGUCACGGAGAGACCGUCGUUGGCUGAGCCGGGGCUGGUCCUGGUGAAGGGCCUCCUCGACCUUUUGGAUCAUCCCGUUGCUUCUCGAUCAUAUUUUGGGUGUUUGAUUUCAAACGCCAAUCUCUUAGAGUCAUGAAACACUUAAAAAACAGAUUCGGUGCUUCUUUAUACACUACCCACAGAAGUGAUAAUCAGCCACGCUCAAAAUACAAAGGAAAAAAAAAGUUUGAGCUCUGAUCUACCAAAAGCGAUUGCAUCUAAGAUUUUUCAGUCUUUUGGAGCAUAAAGGUGAUUUUACCUCCAUUAUUAACUACGAAGCAAAUGCUAACUGCGUGGGGUGCACCAUCUCGUGUCUACUGUCCCGAGGGAUUUACAGCAGAUGAUGCAUACCAGUGUCAGAAACAAGACUGUUAUACCACAGUAAAAACCAUGGGUCAUCAUCCAGUUCUUAAAAAAUAUAAAGUGAAUCCACUCCAGACACCUCCGCAGCUGUAAGGGUUCAAGGUCCUUCCCUGCUAGUGCAAGAUACACCACUCCUUAUUUUAUAACUGCAAGAGCAGGAGUCUCUGUGUUCUUCUCUACCCAGGAAAUCCUUCUUCCCAUUGCUCAUCCCUCGCAACUACAGGAUCACAAAAGGUAUUUCUUGUAAGGAAAAUUCUCAUAUACCUGCACGAAGGAGAUCAGUUACACUCAAAGACAACAUUGAUCAGAUAUCUCAGAUGACCACAAAUACUGACAUUACAGCAGUACUGUGCAGUCUUAGCUUGUACGCAGCGGUGGUUUACACAUAGGGCUAAACCCUUUUUCUUCUGUAGUUAACUGUUGUGCAUGCCAAAUUAAUAGGCCAUUAAUAUGGGCACAAGCAGUGAAAGUCAAGUGAACAAAAUCAUGUAAGUAAACAAAGACCUCAAAACCUGCUUUCUAACAUUCCCUUAUUUCAGAGGGUUUUGGAUGACAUUGUGUUUCUACCGGAUAUUUUUAAUCUCAGUCCUUUCCUCUGAGGUCUCACAUUGUGUGAAAUCAAGUGGCUUCAUUCUGCUCAAAAGGAGCGACAACGUUUUCCCACAGACUCGAGUUCUGGCCUUUGGGUUUUGUUCAGAUUAAAUCUCUGCUAGAGAAAACCUCAUAGCUGGCUGUCCUAGUGCUGCUGAACGGUAUUGAUUUCAUGCCACCACGCUGCCAGAGUUUGUGUAGGGCCCACCGGUGCCCUGGCUGCUCCGUUCCCAUGACAACGCUCUGCAAAGCAGCUCCGUGUCCAUUUCCUGACUGCAUCAUUGCAUCCCACAGCCGGUCUGGGGCGCCACCUGCAACCCCAGACAAUCCUCUUCUACCAACUAACAAAAAAUGUUUUACAAGGAAAAAAAAAUACUUAACUGAAAUAGCGAUGUUUUGUUUGUCAAAACAGGGAGUAUGAAGCUCCCCGCCGCCCAAACACGGGAGGACGGCUGAUUUUGGGCUGCCAUUUCACACUGUGCGCUGCCGCUUGCUAAUGUAAUUGGGAAUGACUUUGUUUGUGCUCCAGGGACCGUGUUUGUUUUCACUGAUGCAGUGAAUUAAAAUAUAACCGCAGUUCAAGUAACUCCUGGUUUUGUGUAGUAGAGGGCAGUGAGCUGCCGGGACUGACUGUUGUGGAGAGGAAGGUCUGCUUUGGUUAGGGGAGAGCCUCCUCCUGCCUCUUCUCCAAAAGCCACGCACCUCUGGGAAUCGCCCCAGGCGUGAGGGAGCGCAGAGACAGCCUGACAGGGCAAAUACAGCAGUUCCCCAAAUACUCGUUUUCAGAGCUGAUGUUUUUCACUGUAUAGCUGAGAAGUGGGAGCACGAAGAUGAGCUCAGGGCACUGAGUCUGGGAGCAGUGGAGGAGAACAAGCUGGUGUUUCCUGGGUGCCAGCCCAGUGCAGCGCUAUCGUGGGUAAAAGGACAGUAUUCUUUUUUUUAGUUAAAAUUAUUUUUAAAUUUUUCUACUACAGAUUCUAAGACUUGCCUUGGCAGGUGCAUGCUGU